UACGUAGGGGGCGAGCGUUGUCCGGAGUUACUGGGCGUAAAGCGUACGCAGGCGGUCUGCUAAGUUUGGUGUGACAGUUGGUGGCUUAACUGCCAAAGUGCUUCGAAAACUGACAGACUUGAGGGCUUCAGAGGGACACGGAAUUCCGGGUGGAGUGGUGAAAUGCGUAGAGAUCCGGAGGAACACCAAAGGCGAAGGCAGUGUCCUGGGGAGUACCUGACGCUCAGGUGCGAAAGCCAGGGGAGCGAACGGG
rnacentral:rRNA from 1 species